CACAACCCAACUUUCCCAACCCCUUAUACAACCAACAAAGAAUAUUUCUACUCAAAGAUCUCACUUGUAAGCUUGUAUAUAGUGUUGGCAAAAGGUCUCCUAUCUUCUUGUGUUUUGGGGUAUUUAUAGAAGGUGAGAAAUGGCUCCAAAAGGCUCUCCAACGGUCAAAUAUUAAAUGCUGUCGAAACUAGCCGUUGGCCUGUCGGACGUCCGACAGCUUAGUCAUCGUCCGAUCCCAUCGUCCGAAAAUCAGUCAAGUUGUUGUUCGGACGUCCGAUGGGAUUUUAUCGUCCGAGCUUCUGUGUCCGAACGUCGUCCAGAGAGUUAUCAAAUCUUCGUGAAAUUUUUAGGAUGUCCGACACGAUCGAUGUGCGUCCGAGGAGUGCGUCCGAUCCAUCCGGACGUCCGAUGCUUCCUCACGAGCGUCCGACAGAAUUUCCUUCUUGAUGUUCUUCAUCCUUUCUGACGUCCGAUAGCUUCCUUUCGGACGUCCCACAUGAGUGCCCUGUUUUUGCUUCUUCUUUUGUGCCACAAGAAUCUGUUCUAACAAAUUGCUCACAUAAAAACAUUAGCCCAAAUCUACAUUUUGGUUUGUUAAUCAUUAAAACCAAGGAUUGAUCGACCAAAGUCAACAAAUGGACACUCACGUCUCGACUUCGGGGUUUUCUCUAGUUCACCACCUACUCUUGAGACAUGCCCAAUUUACAAUUACUAGACCUUUCAACAUGCAUUCAUUAUGGAACAUAAUAUAUAGUCCCUAGUAGGAUUUCCAUCAAGAAGUUUACUAAAAUCAACAUUUAAAAGCUAUCUAACCAUCCAAGUUUCAACGUAAGAAAAGCUGGAAAGGAAUCCAACAAACAUUAGGUCCAAGUGAGGGAUUUUUCCAAACAAAUUUCAUUUAAUCCAUCCCAAAUCAACAUGUAAUCUCAUAAACAUUGAAAUGAGGACAUGAAAUUUCGAAAUCCAACAAAACUUUCCAACAAAUUUUAGUUUUAAAACAAGAAUUUCAGCUAGACAUCUAUCGGACAAGCCAACAAUUGUCUCACAGCCAUUUAGCCCUUGUAUAGCCAUUUUAGCCCCAUUAAUCUACACCGGGAAAACUAGCAUGCAACACUAGAUAAAGAUUAUACUAAGUAUAUAAGCCACAUUUCACCAAAAUACCCACUCAAAAUCAAAACAUAAACAUAAAUUCAGCAAGGUUCCUUCAAAAAUCAACACUUAUCUCACUUGGAUUCAAACAAAAAACUACAUGUAUGUCAAGAUAAAAGAGAUCAGAGAUAUGUAAAGUGCUUUUAAACAAAAUUAAUCAAAAUUCCUAAAAACAAGAACUGAAAACUGUAGUUUUUCCUCUUGAUUUGCUGUCCAGAAAUUCCAGCCUUUGAAAAUGCUUUAAAAGUCGAUCUUUUGUUACUUUUAACUUCUCAGAUAUAACAUGCAUGACUAGAUUUAGGUGUUAGAAAGUAUAUAGAGGCAAGAUGUGUCAAUUUACAAUCAAAGUUUUAGGGAUAAAACUGGAAAAAUCCCAACUCUUCCCCUUGGGUUUCAAUAGAAAAUUCCAUCAUUACCAUUCAAGUUUUUCUCUUUUAGCUUUUAGAUUUAGUACACCAAAACUUGACAUUACCUGUUAACAAGUCAUAUCACAUGAAUUUACAGUAAAAUGACAACAAAAUUUUGAAAUAAGGGCUGUAAUUUAACCAUGAUUCAGGGUUGAAAAAUUUUAUCCCAAACAGGUUACAUGCAUGUUGUUUUCAGAUUAAAAACUCAACUUCCCUUCUUGAUUUAUGCAUAAAUCGUGCAGUAUAUUAUAAGCUGACUAUAAAGCAUGAAUCUCCUAAGAAAAUCUCAACAAAAAUGGAAGCCACAAGCUGAAAAAUACAGCUCAUACCCUACGGUUCAAACUGAAAAUGUCCAGCAAGCUCUCUUCAAUUUUUCUCACCAAAACAGCACCUUUCUUACUUACUUUCAACCAUAAAUCACACAAUAACAUAUUUAUAACAUAAGGUAAGGUAUUGAUCAAGUAUUUCCUAGCAAAACUCAACAAAAGUGGCAAAUAAAGGCUGAAAAUUCACAGCUCAAGUCACUCAGCUCCCUCUUGAAAAUUUCAGUAGCCAAAAUCCUUACAUGCAUGCCAUAUUUUCACCAAGAUUCAUCUAUCAAAAGGAUUAAACAAUUCCCUAGCAAACUUACAAAAAAAAUGAACCAAAAGCUGAAAAGAAACAGCCUUCCCAAGAUCGGUUCAAGCUGAAAAAUUUCCAGCAACAAACAGAUUUCUACUAUCGGUUUCCACCUCUAUGUAUCUUCAAAUCAAGCAUGCUUCCUCAUCUCUCCAAAACAUAUGAAAAGAUUGAAGUUUCUCAGCCAUGCUACCUCAUUUUUCUGCUACAAAUCAAGUUGGAAGUUGGUUCACCUUCCUGAUUUCUCCUUGGUUCAAGCAAGCUGGAUGGACAGCUUCCUCUCUUGCCUUCACUCUCUAUUUUUCUCAGCUAAAUGGUUGGUGCAAGACACUGAUUUUUCUCUCAACUCUGUCUUGGCUAGAAAAUGGAAAGGAGGAGGAAGACUCUCAAGCUCUCUUUCUCUCGGCUGUUUAAAAGGAGAAGAAAUGAAGUCGGUUCUCUCAUUUCUCUCUCUCUCUCUCUCUCUCUCUCUCUCAUGAAUGUAAAUGGUCAAGACAAGAAAG
rnacentral:lncRNA from 1 species